CUUUGAAAUGAAGGAAUAUUACAGAUUCAUAAAGCCAUAGAUUGUAAGGCCUGAACGGACCUCAGAAGAACAUCAGGUCCAGCCCCCUGCACCAAGCAGGAAAGAUAACUGGGGGUGAGGUGACCCCAGC